rnacentral:rRNA from 1 species
GAUGAACGCUAGCGGCAGGCUUAACACAUGCAAGUCGGACGGGAUUGGAGAGCUUGCUUUCCAUGAGAGUGGCGCACGGGUGCGUAACACGUAUGUAACCUACCUUCGUCAGGGGGAUAGCCUCUCGAAAGAGAGAUUAAGACCGCAUAACAUUGAGACACAGCAUUGUGAUUCAAUCAAAUAUUUAUAGGACGAAGAUGGGCAUGCGGAACAUUAGCUAGUUGGUAAGGUAACGGCUUACCAAGGCUACGAUGUUUAGGGGAUCUGAGAGGAUCGACCCCCCACACUGGUACUGAGACACCGGACC